CGAGGGCGAAACAGAGCGAAGGUGCUGCAAUGCGCUGCCUUGCCACGACAGGAGCAACACACUAGGAUGACUGAAGGACGUAACACUUCUGGACGGGAAUUACAUGUUCAAGAAUUGUUUUGAAAUGUACAAGGAAGAUAUUGGCAUUCUCCUUGCAGCCAUCAGCUGUUCAACAUCUGCGAGCUGCAAAGGCUCUCCUGUAUGACAAGGAAGCAGUAGACGCGGCAUUCGCAAUGCUCAUUUUAUGUGCUUCCAAGGGAUGCGGCCAAAGGACGACCUGCAGAUGUGCGAGUCACGUUUAUGGGAGCUGCAAAAAAGAAUUAAAGUGUAUCCCCAGUG
rnacentral:lncRNA from 1 species